rnacentral:rRNA from 1 species
GAUUAAGCUACAAAGAGCAUAUAGAGGAUGCCUUGGCACUAGGCGCCGAUGAAGGACGCGACCAGCUGCGAAAAGCUACGGGGAGUUGCUAAUGAACUGUGAUCCGUAGAUAUCCGAAUGCGGAAACGCACUUGCGCUAAUACGCAAGUAUCAUUGCACGAAUCAAAUAGUGUAAUGAGGGGAACCCAGGGAACUGAAACAUCUAAGUACCUGGAGGAAAAGAAAGUAAACAAACGAUUGCGAAAGUAGUGGCGAGCGAAAUUGCAAGAGCCCAAACCUUAGGUAGUAAUAUCUAAGGGGUUCGGACCCCGGCAUGGGACGAAAUAACAAUAGAAGAACAUAUCUGGAAAGGUAGGCGAAACAGGGUAAUAGCCCCGUAAUUUAAAUUGUUAUGAACCCUAGGGGUAUCCAGAGUAGCACAGGACACGUGUAAUCCGGUGUGAACGCGCGAGGACCAUCUCGUAAGGCUAAAUACGACCUAGUGACCGAUAGAGCACAGUACCGUGAGGGAACGGUGAAAAGAACCCCGGGAGGGGAGUGAAAUAGAACCUGAAACUGUAUGUUUACAAGCAGAUAGAGCGAAAGCGAUAUCGUACUUUUUGUAGAACGGGCCGGCGAGUUACUUGUUGUAGCGAGGUUAAGUGUUUAAGACACGGAGCCGAAGCGAAAGCGAGUCUGAAAAUGGCGCAUAUAGUUGCAAUAAGUAGACCCGAAACCAGAUGACCUAACCAUGAGCAGGUUGAAGCGGUGGUAACACACCGUGGAGGACCGAACACACGCCUGUUGAAAUAGUCGGUGAUGACUUGUGGUUAGCGGAGAAAUUCCAACCGAAUCUGGAUAUAGCUGGUUCUCCUCGAAAUAGCUUUAGGGCUAGCCUCUGUUAAUAGAUUGUUGGGGGUAGAGCACUGAAUAGGCUAGGGGCCUUCACGGGUUACCGAACCUUAUCAAACUCCGAAUACCAAACAAUUGUUCACAGGGAGUCAGACAGUGUGAGAUAAGUUUCAUUGUCAAAACGGAAACAGCCGAGAUCUACAACUAAGGUCCCAAAGUAUAGGUUAAGUGGAAAAGGAUGUGAAAUUGCUAAAACAACCAGGAUGUUGGCUUAGAAGCAGCCACUCAUUAAAAGAGUGCGUAAUAGCUCACUGGUCGAGUGAUUUUGCGCCGAAGAUUCAACGGGGCUAAAACCUAACACCGAAGUUUAGGGAUUGUGUUUACACAAUCGGUAGAGGAGCAAUGAUUACCGGGCUGAAGCAGAACCGUAAGGAACUGUGGACUGUAAUCAAGAGAGAAUGCCGGCAUGAGUAGCGAGAGCAAGGCGAGAAACCUUGCCGUCGAAAGUCUUAGGUUUCCUGGGGAAGGUUCGUCCGCCCAGGGUAAGUCGGGAACUAAGCCGAGGCCGAAAGGCGUAGGCGAUGUCCAACUGGUAGAUAUUCCAGUACCACCGUUAAUCGACAAAGAGUCGAGGCAGUGACACAGUAGGAUAGCAAGAACACGAAGAUGGAAAGUCGUGGCCAAAUCAUGAGGGGUCUAAAUAGUGAAGUACGUUUAGAGCACGCCCUAGGUGAUGAUGGGGAGUGAAAAUUAGUAACGAAGCUUGCGAAUUCACACUGGCGAGAAAAGCUGCUAGAUAGAUUAAAGGUGCCCGUACCGCAAACCGACACAGGUAGACGAUGAGAGAAUCAUAAGACGAACGGAUUAACCCUUGUUAAGGAACUCGGCAAAAUGACCUCGUAACUUCGGGAGAAGAGGUGCCACCAGCAAUGGUGGUCGCAGUGAAACGGCCCAAGCAACUGUUUAUCAAAAACACAGGUUUCUGCUAAAUCGUAAGAUGAAGUAUAGGAGCUGACGCCUGCCCGGUGCUGGAAGGUUAAGAGGAGAUGUCAGUCGCAAGACAAAGCAUUGAAUUUAAGCCCCAGUGAACGGCGGCCGUAACUAUAACG